CGUUUUUUUAGCAUUGUAAUAGAAACACGC
rnacentral:tRNA from 1 species